UACGGGGGGGGCAAGCGUUGUUCGGAAUUACUGGGCGUAAAGGGCUCGUAGGCGGCCAACUAAGUCAGACGUGAAAUCCCUCGGCUUAACCGGGGAACUGCGUCUGAUACUGGAUGGCUUGAGUUUGGGAGAGGGAUGCGGAAUUCCAGGUGUAGCGGUGAAAUGCGUAGAUAUCUGGAGGAACACCGGUGGCGAAGGCGGCAUCCUGGACCAACACUGACGCUGAGUGAGCGAAGCCAGGGGAGCAAAACGGG
rnacentral:rRNA from 1 species